UAGAUUGAAUUAGUCCUUUAAAAAAUUAAGUGUUGUCUAAAAUAUAAAUACUGUCCAGAAUCAUGGUAUAAUUCCUUAGGAAAUCACUAUAAAUUGAACCUCCCCUGCUCUCCACUGCCUAAUAAUAUCUUGUUUUUCUCACAGAGCUGGUUUGAAUUCUGUGCCGCUUGCACCGCGUUGGCUUCAGCACUGCCACCUCUGCUUAAUGCCCAGGUUUGUGUCAAGGUGGUGGGGUCCUGGGUUUGCCAGGUCCCCAAAGCUGCCAGUUCCAUUGCUCGCAGCUUCCCCAAAUCAUUUCACGGCGCUGGCUGUGACCAUACCUUGAGGAGGGGAUGCUGAGUAAGCCCAACAAAUGCUGCCAGCAGUCACGUUGCCCAGAGGGUGAGGAAGAUUCUAGCUGUUUCCUUUUCCCAGCCAUGUUUUGCUGAAGAAACAAUUUUAAAGAGGAAAAAACAGCUUUCUGCGGGUUCCCAGGUAUUGAUGUGCCAUUCUCCCUGCACCUUUAUUAGCAACAACAUUGCCUGUGGCUGGCUAGCUGGUAAGGAUGGACAGUUCUGUAACAGCUGUGUGCACACUACCUUCCUUUGCAAAUAGUGCCUUUUCCCUGUCUGUCCCCAUGGCUCUGUUUAUUUGUAUGCAAGGCAACUGCGAUGUUUAUUGAGGCUUUCCAUCAGCUGUAUGAACUCACAGCAGAAUCAGCUGUGUGGAUGUCCGUUACUGUGAGAGUUGCAGUUGUUGGAUAAUAGGCUCCUGGGCAGCUCCUAUGAGAGACUUGGUCUUUCUUAAGUGUCUCUCUAGACAAAUUGCUGCCUGUGCGUAUGCAUAUAGUAUAAAAAAGAAAAAAAGAAGUGUUUUUUUGUUUUCCAACCUCCCUGUAGAAUGGGUCUAAAAACAGAACUAUCUUUCACUAUGGAAAAAAAAUGACAAAAAUAUCCUCAUAUUUGUAAACACUUUCUAGAUGUUUUUCAGGGUAUCUCUAGGACUUGCCAGGCUCCUCCCCUUUCCUUCCCUGCCUCACCCCAAAUACUUCCAUUUUUGGCUAAAAAAUCUUAAGUUUGGGAUUGUUUUUAACCAACAAUGUCAGCCAAAACCUAAGUCCUUUCUUCUAAUUUUUCCGCUUAAUUUUUAAAGUAUCUUUUGGCAAAACAAAAAUAUUGUUUUGAUGGAAAAUCUUCAACCAGCCCUGCUCAUUAGUUUCUGCCAACAGUCAUACAGGCAAAACAGAGCAUCUUCCAAGAGAGGAGACUGUCCGAAAGGGCUGAACACGAGGCAGGAGAUGACUAACGCUUCUCUCCCCAGCCAACAUCGUGCUCUUUUGCAGGCUGCAGACCUUAAUGAGACCCAUCUUUCUCGAGAUGUUUCCAGUCUAAAUUCCUCUUGGUGGGUCAGCUCAAUAAUUCAGGUAUUUUGCCAGGUUGAUGGAAGAUGGGGGUGGCACAGAAGGAUCACCAAGGGAUCGAAAGACUUGGAAGAGCUACAUUCUGCACCUCUUAUCCAUGUUGACUAAUAUUUGGGCUCCUCCAGGUGCUGUGUUUGAGAGCAUCAUCUCCUCCUGUCCAACUGUACCUUGUUUCUCUGGCCAUCUGGGACUUGGUCCUAUUCCCUUGACAUGUCCAUAAAGAGUAGCUGGUGCGAGCGAUUUUCUGCACUCCAAGAGGGAUGAAAUCAAAAGAGAAGGGCACAGGUCCUGGCAGAUUUGAUGGUCAAGCAUUGUCACCAGCAUGCACCCGCUCACCCACACACCAUGUUGAUAAUCUCCUCAUGAGCAACACCCAGAAACCAACUUCUGUCUGCCCUUUGUGGAGGAGACUGUGGUGAAACUCCCUUCCUGCGUCUGGGCCCCAGACCUAGAAAGUCUUCAGUGCAAGAUGCCACCACCUAACCCGUCAGCUCGUUCCUGAGGCUGCCAAGUUUCAGCCUUCAGACCUUUUGAGGGCAGACAACAGCAGGAGUAGCGCUCAUGCAUGGAGUUGCCCGUGGCUGAGUUUGGAACCUGCGGAGCUAGACAAGAGCUUCCAACAGGAGACACCAUUAAAAGAGGCAAGGUGUAACCCAAUGCUACCAAACAUGCACUCAGACUAACCUCCAUAGCUCAAUUAACUAUAUUAAGUGUACACCUAUAAUGAACUUAAUUUCACUGAGGUUUUCUUCCUGGCGUUGUGUGCCUAGUGUACCUAGUUUUUAAACUUGUUGCUGUGUUUGUAAUUCAAUCAUAUGUAUACAUAGUUCCCACAUCAGCUUAGUCACGCCAGGCACCAGGGAGAGUAUCAUUUUGUUGUAUUUGGCUCAUGGUUCUGCCUUUAACAUGGGGGGUAUCUUCAUUGAAAUCAGUUGUGCUACGUAAGUCCAAAACCAGAGCAAAGCCUAACAUUUGUAAAUUAUUUGCAGUAGAGGCUUUAUAAUUUUUAUAAUGCAAUGUCCUGAAUAUGAAUGCAGUUGGCUACAGCUGCAUUCCCCGUCUCCCAACAGGAAACACCAAAAUAAAGAUAGA